UGCUGGAGGUAUCAGAAGUGCGAAUGCUGACAUAAGUAACGAUAAAGCGGGUGAAAAGCCCGCUCGCCGGAAGACCAAGGGUUCCUGUCCAACGUUAAUCGGGGCAGGGUGAGUCGACCCCUAAGGCGAGGCCGAAAGGCGUAGUCGAUGGGAAACGGGUUAAUAUUCCCGUACUUGGUGUUACUGCGAAGGGGGGACGGAGAAGGCUAUGUUGGCCGGGCGACGGUUGUCCCGGUUUAAGCGUGUAGGUGUGUGUUCCAGGUAAAUCCGGUUCACUUUAACACUGAGGCGUGAUGACGAGGCACUACGGUGCUGAAGCAACAAAUGCCCUGCUUCCAGGAAAAGCCUCUAAGCAUCAGGUAACAUCAAAUCGUACCCCAAACCGACACAGGUGGUCAGGUAGAGAAUACCAAGGCGCUUGAGAGAACUCGGGUGAAGGAACUAGGCAAAAUGGUGCCGUAACUUCGGGAGAAGGCACGCUGACAYGUAGGUGAAGUGAUUUACUCAYGGAGCUGAAGUCAGUCGAAGAUAC
rnacentral:rRNA from 1 species